rnacentral:rRNA from 1 species
GACAGAGGUGCCGAGCGUUAGGCGGAAUCACUGGGCUCAAAGCGUGUGUAGGCGGAUCUGUAAGUACCUUGUGAAAUCCCACGGCUCAACCGUGGAACUGCUUGGUAUACUGCGGGUCUUGAGCCACCUAGGGGCAAGUGGAACAAACGGUGGAGCGGUGAAAUGCGUAGAUAUCGGGAAGAACACCCGUGGCGAAGGCGGCACUCUGGGACGGUACUGACGCUGAGACGCGAAAGCGUGGGGAGCGAACAGG